CGUGGCCUCGUGGUAACGCGCCUGACUGCUGUGCCUGAGGCUGUGGGUUUAAU
rnacentral:tRNA from 1 species